AUGGGCCUAGAGCCCAUCUCAGAUUUCAGCAGAAAGUUCAUGUUAAUGAAUUCCCUGGAAGAAAUUUCAGCCACCUCUUCUACCUGGAACAUACCUCCGAUAAAACAUUUUGUGCUUAUUGAAGGGUGUGACAUUUGUUUACAUUUAGUUAGUUCCAAUGUACCAUCUAAGUUUAUGCUUCUAGAACUUACUCUUUUCCACUGUCCAGUGCGAGGUCCGUCCUGUGCUCGGAUGUUUUUAGACUAUCUAUCAGAGUCCAAGGAAGAUUCGGGGAUAAAGAACAUCAUGGUGCUUGAACGUGGGUUCAAUGGAUGGGAGAUUUCUGGCCAACCCGUGUGCCACUGCAAAGAUGCUCCUUGCAAAGGCACAUGCUCUUGA
rnacentral:rRNA from 1 species